rnacentral:misc_RNA from 1 species
UCACCUCCUCCAGCCUCCCUUUCCUUUUCCAUUUUUUUCUUCUCUCUCCAUUCUUAUGUCCUAUUAUUAUUAUUAUAUUUCUUUCACCUUCUGGAAUUCAGUCCAGUGUCAUUGGCAAGGUCAUGCAACAUCUGAAACGAGCCUUGCGGACACUGGUCAAGAUCUCGGUCUCUGCAUUCUCGAGCAUUUGCACAACUUCGAUGAAAGGCGGCCUAAUAUCAGGGUUUGCAUCCCAGCAACGGGUCAUAAUCUCACCAAGAGCAGGCAAGCAAUCAUUGGGAAUGACAGGACGGACACCCUUGUUCACGACCGCAAAUGCAGCCUGUACUGCUGUCAUAUUCUGAAAAGGAAGCAUUCCUGUGAUGAGUUCCCACAAAACAAUCCCAAAGCUAUAGACAUCCACCUUUUGCGUGUAGGGCCUGUGCUGGAUCAUCUCCCUUCAAAGCCAGAAAAAAAAAGAAGGUUCACUGAUUAGCCCUUCAAGAAGGUACACUUGGAGGAAAAAGAUAAUCUCAACGACAGUCAUAAAAAUCAAUGCCCACUUCCACAUAACCACCAGUGGCCAUUUAACCUAUACUACUUUAUCAAGUUAGAAAUCCUCAAGAUGUCCAUUCGGUUUCACUAUUAUAUUCUCGUGCAUGUGCGCCAACUCAAACUUGAAAGAAACACAAUCAUAAUUAGUCAGCGAAACUUAUGAUUCAUAUUUCAUUUCUAAAAGUGUAUAAGAAAAAGAAAAAAAAAAAGGGUUAAUGUCCACCUGCACAGUCAGGAAAAAUUAUCAUGAACUUGAGAAGGAACUUAUGAAACAGAGCUUCAUAUGUUCUAUUACAGAACCUAGUUAAAACACAGCAUUAAGAGGCCAUACAUCCCAACUAACCGGCUGAUGAAAUAGCAUGCAAAUUUUUAUCAUGUCAUAACAAUAGUUUAAGAAAAUUUGAACUUCAAAUCAAAAUGUGUGGCUUGAAUGAAAAUCACUGCACACAUCACUUUCUAAACUUGACAACUUAUAAGCAAAAUAUAGGUGAAACAACCGAACAACUUGACAAUUUGUUUUCAUACUGUAGUUAAAUAUAAGAAUAUUAAAUAAUUAAACAAAGAAUAAAUAACUGAGGGGCGCAAGAAACACAACUACGUGACACUAAAAAUACAAUUUGAAAAGUUUAAGAGAGGUAGAAAAACAUAACUCAUGCAAUUGCUAUUUUUUAGGGUUUUAGCUUUUAGUUUAUUUUCCUUUAAACAGAAUAAAACUUGUUUGCUUGAUUUUUUUUUUCCAUAGAACUUGUCACAAAACCACUUGCCUCGAGAUAAUUCUGACUACUCAUAUUGCAUUUAUGAAGCAGCAGGACAACACUACCAGCAAUUGGAUUUCUCUAAAGUCAUGAAUUGUCAGAAAAAGCCAAUCUCAGUGACUUGCCAAGAGAGAGAGAGAGAAAGCAAAUGAUACACAGAUUGGAAAAGUACACACUGCUGCAAGAAUGGUAUAAUUUUGCCAAGAAUCAUGGAUCCUAGCCGAUCAAAAUCAGCUUUUCAAUUGCAAGUGUAUAAAAUGCCACUGGAUAUGAAUCGAACAGCUCUUUAUCCUCCUCAGAUAUGGAAAAUUGUUGGUGUUCUAAAUCCUGAUUAUAAAUGUGUAGCUCCAAUUAGAGUUAGUCCAACAGAAUUUCCUGAUAACAGUGGGCUUCAGAUUUUUACUCUCGCAAUUGCAAGUUUGGCAAAUAGAGUGUAACAUCAAAAAAAGAAAAAAAUCAGGGACUUCAAGGUGAUGUGUUUCUGCAAAAGCAGUCCAACAGGACACAGACCCAAAGCUUGCUGCCCUAUGUUUUGACAAAAAUUACACCCCAUGCCACUGCCUUUUAUUUAUGUCAAUGCCACUUGAGCACAGUUUUUAUUAAACUUUUUUUAUUUUUCAAUUUUUUAUUUCAGUGGAUCUCACAAUAUAUUUUUUAAACAUUAAAAAAUUGUACUUUCCCAAUUACAAAAAUAUUAUAGAAAAGAUAGUAUUUGAGAAAAAAAAAAACCAUAAACAGAUUAUUUUUUAACCAAAAAACAUGAAACAUGAAGUGAUAACAAAUAGGCCCUAACCAACAAGGUAACUUUUACCAGUCAUCCCUCAAGUUUUUGAGGUAUUUCACUUCCAUCCCUCAUCUUCAUUUUGUUAC